rnacentral:tRNA from 2 species
GGAGGAUUCGCCUAGUGGCCUAGGGCGCACGAUUGGAAAUCGUGUUGGGGUUGAUAGCCCCUCGCGGGUUCAAAUCCCGCAUCCUCCGCCA